rnacentral:rRNA from 1 species
GCCAAGAAUCUUCCGCAAUGGGGGAAACCCUGACGGAGCGACGCCGCGUGAGGGAUGAAGGUCUUCGGAUUGUAAACCUCUUUUGUUCGGGAAGAAUAAGGCACGUAGGCAAUGACGUGCCGAUGACGGUACCGAAUGAAUAAGCCCCGGCUAAUUACGUGCCAGCAGCCGCGGUAAUACGUAAGGGGCUAGCGUUGCUCGGAAUUACUGGGCGUAAAGGGCGUGUAGGUGGAUUUGUACGUUUGAUGUGAAAGUCCUGGGCUUAACCUAGGGAUUGCAUUGAAUACGGCAAGUCUAGAGCGUGAGAGGGGAAAACGGAAUUGCGGGUGUAGAGGUGAAAUUCGUAGAUAUCCGCAGGAACACCAAUGGCGAAGGCAGUUUUCUGGCUCAUGGCUGACACUGAGGCGCGAAAGCGUGGGGAGCAAACAGGAUUAGAAACCCUGGUAGUCC